AACGAACGCUGGCGGCAGGCUUAACACAUGCAAGUCGAGCGAAGCCUUCGGGCUUAGCGGCGGACGGGUGAGUAACGCGUGGGAACGUGCCCUUUGCUACGGAAUAGCCCCGGGAAACUGGGAGUAAUACCGUAUGUGCCCUUCGGGGGAAAGAUUUAUCGGCAAAGGAUCGGCCCGCGUUGGAUUAGGUAGUUGGUGGGGUAAUGGCCUACCAAGCCGACGAUCCAUAGCUGGUUUGAGAGGAUGAUCAGCCACACUGGGACUGAGACACGGCCCAGACUCCUACGGGAGGCAGCAGUGGGGAAUCUUAGACAAUGGGGGAAACCCUGAUCUAGCCAUGCCGCGUGAUCGAUGAAGGCCUUAGGGUUGUAAAGAUCUUUCAGUGGGGAAGAUAAUGACUGUACCACAGAAGAAGCCCCGGCUAACUCCGUGCCAGCCGCCGCAGUAAGAC
rnacentral:rRNA from 1 species